UACAGAGGGUGCAAACGUUGUUCGGAAUUACUGGGCGUAAAGCGCGUGUAGGCGGCCUAGUGUGUCGGGCGUGAAAUCCCACGGCUCAACCGUGGAAGUGCACUCGAAACUGCAAGGCUGGAGUACUGGAGAGGAUGGUAGAAUGCUCGGUGUAGAAGGUGAAAUUCGUAGAUAUCGAGCGGAAUACCGGUGGCGAAGGCGGCCAUCUGG
rnacentral:rRNA from 1 species